rnacentral:rRNA from 1 species
ACAAUGCGGAACAAUGUUUUGCAAUUGGAUUGAGAACAACGUACAAACCUUAUCGAUAAACAAUUGGAGGGCAAGUCUGGUGCCAGCAGCCGCGGUAAUUCCAGCUCCAAUAGCGUAUAUUAACGUUGUUGCAGUUAAAAAGCUCGUAGUUGAAAUGAAGGGUAGUUGUGUAAUGAAUACAUUCGUGUAUUUUGUUAUUCUACUACCCUCCUUCUAAAUUCGAUAUAUGAGUAUUAAUUUACUUGUAUAUGGUUUUAGACUUUUACUGUGAGAAAAUUAGAGUGUUCAAAGCAGGCAUUUGCUUGAAUAUAUUAGCAUGGAAUAAUCAUGUAUGAUUUUCAUGAUGUAUUUGAUUGGUUUGGUUCAUGAGAAUAAGAUUAAAAGGGACAGUUGGGGGUAUUCAUAUUCAAUAGUCAGAGGUGAAAUUCUCGGAUUUAUGGAAGAUGAACAAGUGCGAAAGCAUUUACCAAGGAUGUUUUCAUUAAUCAAGAACGAAAGUUAGGGGAUCGAAGAGGAU